GACGAACGCUGGCGGCAUGCCUAAUACAUGCAAGUCGAGCGGAAUGACGAGAGCUUGCUCUCUGAUUUUAGCGGCGGACGGGUGAGUAACACGUGGGCAACCUGCCCUACAGAUGGGGAUAACUCCGGGAAACCGGGCUAAUACCGAAUAAUCAGUUUGUCCGCAUGGACAAACUCUGAAAGACGGUUUCGGCUGUCACUGUAGGAUGGGCCCGCGGCGCAUUAGCUAGUUGGUGGGGUAAUGGCCUACCAAGGCAACGAUGCGUAGCCGACCUGAGAGGGUGAUCGGCCACACUGGGACUGAGACACGGCCCAG
rnacentral:rRNA from 1 species